rnacentral:rRNA from 1 species
UCUAGACGAACUGCCGUUGACAAAACGGAGGAAGUGGGGAUGACGUCAAAUCAUCAUGCCCUUAUGUUCUGGGCUACACACGUGCUACAAUGGCCGGUACAGACGGACGCAAAGCCGCGAGGUGGAGCAAAUCCUAAAAAGCCGGUCUCAGUUCGGAUUGCAGGCUGCAAUUCGCCUGCAUGAAGUCGGAAUCGCUAGUAAUCGCAGGUCAGCAUACUGCGGUGAAUACGUUCCCGGGCCUU